rnacentral:rRNA from 1 species
UGGGGAAUAUUGCACAAUGGGGGAAACCCUGAUGCAGCGACGCCGCGUGAGCGAAGAAUGUUUUCGAAUCGUAAAGCUCUGUCCUAUGAGAAGAUAAUGACGGUAUCAUAGGAGGAAGCCCCGGCUAAAUACGUGCCAGCAGCCGCGGUAAUACGUAUGGGGCGAGCGUUGUCCGGAAUUAUUGGGCGUAAAGGGUACGUAGGCGGUCUAUUAAGUCAGGUGUGAAAGCGUGAGGCUUAACCUCAUUAAGCACUUGAAACUGAUAGACUUGAGUGAAGGAGAGGAAAGUGGAAUUCCUAGUGUAGCGGUGAAAUGCGUAGAUAUUAGGAGGAAUACCGGUGGCGAAGGCGACUUUCUGGACUUUUACUGACGCUCAGGUACGAAAGCGUGGGGAGCAAACAGG